GGCUCCGUGGCUUAAUGGUUACGGCUUCUGCCUCACAAGCAGAAGGUUCAGGGAUCAAAUCCCGGUCGGACCU
rfam:Culex pipiens quinquefasciatus supercont3.74 genomic scaffold, whole genome shotgun sequence.